rnacentral:rRNA from 1 species
AGAGUUUGAUCAUGGCUCAGAUUGAACGCUGGCGGUAUGCCUAACACAUGCAAGUCGAACGAGGUAGCAAUACCUAGUGGCGGACGGGUGAGGAAUACGUAGGGAUCUGCCCUUAAGUGGGGGAUAACCCGGGGAAACCCGGAUUAAUACCGCAUGAUCUCGCAAGAGCAAAGAGGGGGACCGCAAGGCCUCUCGCUUUUGGAGGAACCUACGUCGAAUUAGCUAGUUGGUGAGGUAAUGGCUCACCAAGGCGACAAUCCGUAACUGGUCUGAGAGGAUGAUCAGUCACACCGGAACUGAGACACGGUCCGGACUCCUACGGGAGGCAGCAGUGGGGAAUAUUGGACAGUGGGCGAAAGCCUGAUCCAGCAAUACCGCGUGUGUGAAGAAGGCCUUCGGGUUGUAAAGCACUUUAAGUUGGGAAGAAAAAGCUUCACCUAAUACGUGAAGCCUUGACGGUACCGACAGAAUAAGCACCGGCUAACUCUGUGCCAGCAGCCGCGGUAAUACAGAGGGUGCUAGCGUUAAUCGGAUUUACUGGGCGUAAAGCGUGCGUAGGUGGUUUGAUAAGUCGAUUGUGAAAGCCCCGGGCUUAACCUGGGAAUUGCGGUCGAUACUGUCAGACUCGAAAACGGUAGAGGGAGGUGGAACUCCAGGUGUAGCGGUGAAAUGCGUAGAUAUCUGGAAGAACACCGAUGGCGAAGGCAGCUUCCUGGGCCUGUUUUGACACUGAGGCACGAAAGCGUGGGUAGCAAACAGGAUUAGAUACCCCGGUAGUCC